UCUUAGAUCAUAUACAAUGGAUGGAGUCAUAGCAUAUUACGCGUAUAAAAUGGGUUGAAGCCAACAUAACUAUAGGAACUAUAGGACCUGUGACAUCUGCGCUUGCGCGACUGUUUAUCUUAACUGCGCGUCUGCAGCACUUUGCGCCAAACAUUAAUGAUAAGAGACCAAGCGCAUGCGCAUAUCACUGAGGUCCUACAGUUAUGUUGGCUUCAUAAAUUGUUCGUAUGACUCUAUCCAUUGUAUAUGAUCUAAGGCUUAUAUUUAUGCCAAUAGGAUUUAUUGGCGAUUGAAAGUGAUAAGAUGUGACGGGGACGCUGUAUAUCAUUUAUAUGUUAUUUUACUAGUUCCCCGUGACAGAUCCACCCCCCGCCGACCUGUUAAUUGAUAAGCUUUCAAUCGUCAGAACCACGAACAUACAAUAGUAAGGACUGGCUACUGCUCGACCAGUGUGAUUCGCUUAUUGUCGCCAUUUCAAUAAUAAUCCGCUAGGGUCGCUACUGUGCGUUCGCCCUAUUGCCGCCAAUGUAGAAGCGUAAUUAGCGUAUACAAACAACAUUACAUUUUUGGGAAAAUUGCCGCAUUCUCAUAUUAAUAUAAUAUCUAAUUGCAAAAGCAAUUAUUUCUUCGCUAUGCUGGAAACAUGGAAAAUAAAUAAUAUUGUUUUUUAAUAAUUCAACAAAAUUAAAAAAAUGUAAAUUUGGAUGAAUAAGUCCACCUCUGGAAGUUAAGUUAGUUAGUCGAGCAACAGGUUCAACCGAAU